CGCAUCUGUGCAUGCAGCAUAUCAAUAAGCGGAGGAAAAGAAACUAACAAGGAUUCCCUUAGUAACGGCGAGUGAAGCGGGAAGAGCUCAAAUUUGAAAUCUUCAAGGUUUUACCUUGACGAAUUGUAGUUUAAAGAAGUGUUUUCUGUUGAAGUUUUGGUAAAAGUUCUUUGGAAUAGGACAUCAUAGAGGGUGAGAAUCCCGUAUUUGACCAUUAUUUUCAGCUGUGUGAUACACUUUCAAAGAGUCGGAUUGUUUGGGAAUGCAGUCCAAAAUGGGUGGUAAAUUUCAUCUAAAGCUAAAUAUUGGCGAGAGACCGAUAGCGAACAAGUACCGUGAGGGAAAGAUGAAAAGAACUUUGAAAAGAGAGUUAAACAGUACGUGAAAUUGUCAAAAGGGAAGCGUUUGACACCAGUGUUGUUUUCUCGAAAAUCAAUUAAAAAGAGUUAGAUUUUGUUGUGUAUUGACCUUAACAGCUUGCAUUUCAAUUUUCUUGCUUUUUUUAAUGCACUUUUCGUUUAACAAGUCAACAUCAGUUUCUUUUGUUGUAAAAAGGUCAUUGGAAGGUGGCUUUCUUUUCGGAGAAAGUGUUUAUAGCCUUUGACUCCUGCAAUCGGAGAGACUGAGGUCUGCAGCGUAGAUCCUUCGGGGUUAGAUACAUUUGUGCUAAGUUAUAGCUUUUUAUAGACAACUUGUUGACUAUGAUUAGUCUUGUAGGCUUACUCGCUUAUGCUAUUUUACCUACGCUUAGGAUGUUGACACACGCGCGUGCUCGAGUCUAUACAUGACUCUGCGCAUAUCAAUAAGGGAGGAAAAGAGGGCUAUUACCUACGCUUAGGAUGUUGACGAGACUGUCGAUCUCAUCUAUACAUGACUCUGUGCAUAUCAAUAAGCGGAGGAAAAGCGCAUUAAAGAUCCAGGUACCUACGCUUAGGAUGUUGACGAGACUGUCGAUCUCG
rnacentral:rRNA from 1 species